GUGAUCCACUGAGCCACAAAGGAAAAUAGAGAGGAGAAUAAGAUAGUAAUGAGAGCUCUGCUAUAAAAUCUGGACCGCAACAUGUGGGGCACAUGCAGGAAUGAAAGAAAAGCAAAGAACUGAAGAGAAAACAAAGAGCGAUGAGCACAAAACAUCUGGAUCCCAGCGGGGCCCAAACAUCUGCUAGGAGCCGGCUGGGAGGUGGACGAGGAAGAGGAGGAGGAAGGAUGGGGUGCGCAUCAGGGACGUGAUCCAGAGGGGUCUACACAUCCAUAUGUCCUCAUCUAACUGUCCUCACCUCUCCUGUUUUAAUGUAACCUUUCUGUGAUGUUUUUGUUUUUUUCAAUUGUGUCUUGAUGUAAAGUGUUUUUCAAAAACUAAAACUGCUAUACAAAUAAAAAUGUAUAAAAAUUUU